rnacentral:rRNA from 1 species
UACGUAGGGGGCUAGCGUUGUCCGGAUUUAUUGGGCGUAAAGAGCGCGUAGGCGGCCGAGUAAGUCCGACGUGAAAUCUGGAGGCUCAACCUCCAGCGGUCGUUGGAAACUACUCGGCUAGAGUCCGGAAGAGGAGAGUGGAAUUCCUGGUGUAGCGGUGAAAUGCGCAGAUAUCAGGAAGAACACCAAUGGCGAAGGCAGCUCGCUGGGACGGUACUGACGCUGAGACGCGAAAGCGUGGGGAGCAAACAGG